rnacentral:lncRNA from 1 species
AAGGAAAGCAUUGCGCAUGCGGGAAACCCACGCUGAGGGAAGAAUCAUGGGAAAGAGUAGAGACGGGGUUCCACCGUGUUAGCCAGGAUGGUCUCGAUUUCCUGACCUCGUCAUCCUCCCGCCUUGGCCUCCCAAAGUGCUGGGAUUACAGGCUUGAGCCACCGCGCCCCGCUCUUUCGUGUUCCAAAGGCUUUUUAAAUAAACUUCCACUCCUGUCCUGGAUUCUGCUUUAUGGCCCUCAGUCGAAUUCUUUCUUCUGAGGAGGCAAGGACUGAAGUUGCUUCUGACCAGUACAGGAGAAAACGAAUACAGCAGGGAUGACUUCCACCAGCUCCACUUUGCAGCUCUGAGGUGUAUUAAAAAUUUGUUUUUCAGAAACCUAGAGCCCCACCAAAUGAAUCCGCUGGCACGUGGACCUCAGAUGGGGGAAACUGAGGACUGAAUUCUGACCACCCUCCUUUGUUCUAAAUUUCUUCCUGAAGGACCUGGAAGAAGUCAUGCCACGGGCCAGACCUUAACAUUCCUUUCGGCUUACCCCAGGAUUUCAGACAAAGCUUCACUUUCCUAACCAGUCACAAAUCAGAGAAUUUUUGAUUCCACCUAUGACCUGUGAGCUCCUGCUUCAAGAUAUUCCACCUUUUUUAGGCCAAACCAAUGUAUAACCUCCAAGUGUCGAUUUACACUUUCGACUGUAACUUCUGCUUUCCUGAGAUUUACCCCUGCCUUUAAAAACCCUUGCUUGUAAUCCCUCAGGGAGGCCGUGUAUUUAUUAAUCAUGAGCUGCCCAAUUCUCCUUGCUUGGUGCCCUGCAAAUAAACACCCUCUUUUCUCCCACUGCAAAA